ensembl:lncRNA
UAGGUACCUUGGUUGGCUAGUUAGUUAGGUACCUUGGUUGGCUUGUGUGUGUAAUAUACAUUAUUCUGGGAGUCUCAUGUGUGUAAUAUACAUUAUUCUGGGAGUCUAGUGUGUGUAAUAUACAUUAUUCUGGGAGUCUAGUGUGUGUAAUAUACAUUAUUCUGGGAGUCUAGUGUGUGUAAUAUACAUUAUUCUGGGAGUCUCGUGUGUGUGUAUGAACUAUGUGGAAUAUUUUUGGACCAUCGUCUUCCCUGAAAGCAGGUACUGACAGGAGGACGAGGCCCGUGACGAGAAUGAUGAUCCAGUGACAGUGUUUAAAAACCAUUUACAAUAAA